rnacentral:rRNA from 1 species
CCUACGGGAGACAGCAGUGAGGAAUAUUGGUCAAUGGGCUUACGCCUGAACCAGCCAAGUCGCGUGAGGGAAGACUGCCCUAUGGGUUGUAAACCUCUUUUGUCAGGGAGCAAUUGGCGCUACGUGUAGCGUUAUCGAGAGUACCUGAAGAAAAAGCAUCGGCUAACUCCGUGCCAGCAGCCGCGUUAAUACGGAGGAUGCGAGCGUUAUCCGGAUUUUUUGGGUUUAAAGGGUGCGUAGGCGGAAUGCCAAGUCAGCGGUAAAAUCGCGGGGCUCAACCUCGCUCCGCCGUUGAAACUGGCGUUCUUGAGUGGGCGUGAAGUAUGCGGAAUGCGUGGUGUAGCGGUGAAAUGCAUAGAUAUCACGCAGAACUCCGAUUGCGAAGGCAGCAUACCGGCGCCCAACUGACGCUGAAGCACGAAAGCGUGGGUAUCGAACAGGAUUAGAUACCCUUGUAGUC